UACGUAGGGGGCAAGCGUUGUCCGGAAUCAUUGGGCGUAAAGAGCGUGUAGGCGGCCCGAUAAGUCCGCCGUGAAAGUCCAGGGCUCAACCCUGGAAUGCCGGUGGAAACUGUCGGGCUGGAGUCCGGAAGAGGCGAGUGGAAUUCCUGGUGUAGCGGUGAAAUGCGCGGAUAUCAGGAGGAACACCGGUGGCGAAGGCGGGUCUCUGGGCCGAUACUGACGCUGAGGCGCGAAAGCGUGGGGAGCAAACAGG
rnacentral:rRNA from 1 species